rnacentral:rRNA from 1 species
CUUUUGGAGAGUUUGAUCCUGGCUCAGGACGAACGCUGGCGGCGUGCCUAAUACAUGCAAGUCGAGCGGACCGAAC